rfam:Herbinix sp. SD1D isolate SD1D genome assembly, chromosome: I
UCUGGUGGUGAUGCGCUUAAGGGUCACACCCGUUCCCAUCCCGAACACGAUGGUUAAGCCUUAAGCGGCCGAUGGUACUGCACUGGAGACGGUGUGGGAGAGUAGGUGGCUGCCAGAG